GAAAAGCCUCGGCCCGUCCACCGACGCAGCAUUCCACACCAAAAGCCCAGGUAAAUUGGCUUCGUCUCCCCGCUCUGCGGCGAUGGAGGAAGGAGGAGGUGCAGAGCACCGCGAAUUCCAUCGCCACAGCCUCGCGCAGCCGCGUCGUCCUUCUCCGGCAUCGCGCGAUCCCUAGCAGACAGAUUAGUCAACAAAGAAAAAUUAAGUGGUGGAGAUCUUCCUAAAAUGAAAUCAAGACGAUGAGAUAAGAAUGGAGAUUUAAUGUGGUUUGUUGGAGAUGCCAAAGGUAGGAGAUGAAGGACAGUUGGAAGGGGAUAAUGGAGGACAAUUAUAGCGUCACUAGAGCCUGGGGCGGAGAGGUAGGGGCUGUCUGUGCAGGUUUGCAGUGCAGCUGGGCCAAACAUCGCUUACAGUUUAAGCUGUAGGCUGUUAUAAAGUAAAAGCUGCGGAGGUACAGUUUCGGCCACUGUGUGCAGGAAGAUGAGAAGUCAAGCAGUAGCAAUUGGCGCAUGUAGGUUCCGCGGGGCACUCAGCGAGAUUCAAUCUUCACGUGACAUUUAGGCCGACCUUUUAUUAUGGAUCGCUGGGGGGAAGAAUCGUAAAAGUUUCAGGUGUCAACAAAUUGUGUCGCUGCGGAAAAGAGGGAUCAGACCAAAGCAGUGGCCUUGGUAGGGCAAGGUAUUAUCCUCGAGGACACUAAGGUUCAUGCCCAAGCAUCCAUAUUUUAAUGGUUUAGUCGGGAUAUUUUCUGAGUUGACAUUUGCAUCUCCCAG
rnacentral:rRNA from 1 species